CUGACACCAGGGUGAUCUGGGUCUUUCGUUGGCAGGAGAUGAAGAGAGAAGAUGCUGAAGCAAAGCCAUGAUCCAACGAAGGCCGGGAGAUCGAAGGAGGCUCGGCGAAGGGGAAACCGAGAUGAAGAGAGAAGACGUCUGAGUGGAGCCCUGACCCGACCAAGGCCGUUGAGAUCGAAGAAGGGUCGGCAAGGGGAAACCGUGAGCUCCAACUUGUGCACACGCUUGUGUGAUGUCGCUGGCCAACGAUCAGGCAGCUCUGCACCUCGUAAUUGUUCAACUACCAAACGAUGGAGUCGCAUGUUCUCAUAUUUAUGACUCAGGCAUCUAUGUUGCUCUCCAUUACUCCCUAUCUACUAUUUCUUGUUGAUCAAUAUGUAGAAGGAGACCCAAUUGAAGUUGGAAUGUCAAAGAAAAGGAAGUAUGAUGAAAACUGUAUUAUAUGGUUACAUUUGCAUUAAUGGACAUGAAGGGCCACAAAAGCCAUUGUGCUUUUUGUGCAGAAAAAUUCUUGCAAAUGGAAGUAUGAAGCCAUCAAAUCUAAAAGAGUGUCUCAUGUCUGUCCAUCCUGAAAAUGCACUUAAAGAUGCGAGUUUUUAACUAUAUCAGUGAAAUAAACUCCUUUCAAUUCAAGGUUCUUAAGUCACCAUUAUGGAUGUUACUGAAAAAUUACAAGCCUUCUUGGCUAAGCUGAUGAUAUGGAAAAAGAGAACAGAGGCUAACAUCUUUACAAACUUCCAAAUGUUGGAAGAAAUGCCUUACCAAGAUGGGGUUGAGAUACAAAAUUUACUAAAUACAUUAUUCUGAGAAGAGGUCACUGUACUGCCAAAGGGGUCCAUGGCAUUAAAAAGGUUAAGAAGCUCUAAUCUAUGAGUUUCACCAUGUAACGCACACAAAAUGCUGGAGGAA